rnacentral:piRNA from 1 species
UACAGCUCAGCGUCUCCUGGAUG